rnacentral:rRNA from 1 species
UGGCUCAGGAUGAACGCUAGCGGCAGGCCUAACACAUGCAAGUCGAGGGGUAACAUGGUAGCUUGCUACCGAUGACGACCGGCGCACGGGUGCGCAACGCGUAUACAAUCUGCCCCCUACUGUGGGAUAGCCCAGAGAAAUUUGGAUUAAUACCACAUGGUACCAUAUUACGGCAUCGUAUUUAUGGUUAAAGGUUACGGUAGGGGAUGAGUAUGCGUCCCAUUAGUUAGUUGGUGAGGUAACGGCUCACCAAGACCGCGAUGGGUAGGGGCCCUGAGAGGGGGAUCCCCCACACUGGUACUGAGACACGGACCAGACUCCUACGGGAGGCAGCAGUGAGGAAUAUUGGACAAUGGGCGGGAGCCUGAUCCAGCCAUGCCGCGUGCAGGAAGAAUGCCCUAUGGGUAGUAAACUGCUUUUAUACGGGAAGAAAAAGGGCUACGUGUAGCCUACUGACGGUACCGUAAGAAUAAGGACCGGCUAACUCCGUGCCAGCAGCCGCGGUAAUACGGAGGGUCCGAGCGUUAUCCGGAAUUAUUGGGUUUAAAGGGUCCGUAGGCGGGCCGAUAAGUCAGGGGUGAAAGUUUGCAGCUCAACUGUAAAAUUGCCUUUGAUACUGUCGGUCUUGAGUUAUAGUGAAGUUGCCGGAAUAUGUAGUGUAGCGGUGAAAUGCAUAGAUAUUACAUAGAACACCGAUUGCGAAGGCAGGUGACUAACUAUAUACUGACGCUGAUGGACGAAAGCGUGGGGAGCGAACAGGAUUAGAUACCCUGGUAGUCCACGCCGUAAACGAUGGAUACUAGCUGUCCGGGUCCUUGAGACCUGGCGGCCAAGCGAAAGUGAUAAGUAUCCCACCUGGGGAGUACGUUCGCAAGAAUGAAACUCAAAGGAAUUGACGGGGGCCCGCACAAGCGGUGGAGCAUGUGGUUUAAUUCGAUGAUACGCGAGGAACCUUACCAGGGCUUAAAUGCAUAUUGACAGGGGUAGAGAUACCUUUUCCUUCGGGCAAUUUGCAAGGUGCUGCAUGGUUGUCGUCAGCUCGUGCCGUGAGGUGUCAGGUUAAGUCCUAUAACGAGCGCAACCCCUACCGUUAGUUGCCAGCGAGUCAUGUCGGGGACUCUAACGGGACUGCCGGUGCAAACCGUGAGGAAGGUGGGGACGACGUCAAAUCAUCACGGCCCUUACGUCCUGGGCCACACACGUGCUACAAUGGCCGGUACAGCGGGAAGCCAUGCGGCAACGCAGAGCGGAUCCACAAAACCGGUCACAGUUCGGAUCGGGGUCUGCAACUCGACCCCGUGAAGCUGGAAUCGCUAGUAAUCGGAUAUCAGCCAUGAUCCGGUGAAUACGUUCCCGGGCCUUGUACACACCGCCCGUCAAGCCAUGGAAGCCGGGAGUGCCUGAAGUCCGUCACCGCAAGGAGCGGCCUAGGGCAAGAUCGGUAACUAGGG